rnacentral:rRNA from 1 species
UUGAAAGGGAAACGAUUGAAGUCAGUCGUACCGACGGAAAAUCAGCUCUUCGAGUGCGGACUUGUGGGCGUACGUGAGCUUUAACCGGCCUCGUCGUUUGCUACGUUUGUGCUUUUUGGGUGUACUUUUUCGUAUGGUAGGCCAACGUCAGUUUCGAUCACCAUAAAAUGAUCGGAGGAAUGUAGCUUCGAUCCUGUAUUGAAGUGUUAUAGCCUUUGGUAGAUGUGGUGACUGAGACUGAGGAUUGCAACGAAUACCCUUUGGGCUAUCCGUCUGACCUCUGAAAGUUGCUUAGGUGCCGAAAGCUUGCUUACGGUCAUCUAUGACGACGGUCAAAAGGUUAGAACGUGAUUAUAUUCGUUAAGGAUGUUGACGUA